rnacentral:ncRNA from 1 species
UUUUUUCUUAAUUUACACAUGCAAGUUUCCUCAACCCUGUAAGUAAACCUCUCCUUCCCCUACGGGGUAAUAAGGGUCGAUAUAGGGCUCCACCUUCUACCCAAAAUACCUAGUGAUAGCCACACCUACGAAGAAUAUAGCAGUAAUUACAUUAGAUAUAAAUGCCAACUUGACCUAAUUAAAAAAUGCAAGACCAACAAAUUAAUGCCAGCCACCACAAUUACACUAAGCCUAAACUGAUUUUUACUGACAUAAAAUUCAAUAUUAAGCAAUUUAUAAAUUAGAGCUAAACCCCACCCGGACAAUGAAAUGUAUUUGAAAAAGCCCAUAAACUAAAAUUGCUCUUUUUCCCACUUAUGGUUAGAAAACAAACUGGGAUUAGAUACCCCACUAUGCCUGGCCAUAAACCUUAAAUUACCCCCCCCAUCGCCAAGGAACUACGAGCUAUGCUUAAAACCUAAGAGACUUGACGGUACCCCAUAUUCACCUAGAGGAGCCUGUCCUAUAACCGAUACCCCUCGUUAAACCUCACCACUGCUAGCCUUUCAGCCUGUAUACCUCCGUCCCAGCUUACCAUGUGAAUGAACCAGUAAGCUCAACCGCCACCCACUAAUACAUCAGGUCGAGGUGCAGCAAAUGCAGUGUGAAAGAGAUGGGCUACACUCUCUAUUUUAGAAGACACGGAUAGUCAUAUGCAACUUGACCUGAAGGUGGAUUUAGUAGUAAAAAGAAAGCAGAGCGUUCUUUUUAAGCCGACACUGGGGUGUGUACACACCGCCCGUCACCCUCUUCAAAAACACACAACAGUAUUUAACAAAACUUUUCCCAUAAGAAGAGGCAAGUCGUAACAUGGUAAGCGUACCGGAAGGUGCGCUUGGUAA